AUUGAACGCUGGCGGCAGGCUUAACACAUGCAAGUCGAGCGGAGCGGCGGACGGGUGAGUAAUGCCUAGGAAUCUGCCUGGUAGUGGGGGAUAACGUCCGGAAACGGGCGCUAAUACCGCAUACUAUCAGAUGAGCCUAGGUCGGAUUCGCCAGUUGGUGGGGUAAAGGCCUACCAAGGCGACGAUCCGUAACUGGUCUGAGCGGAUGAUCAGUCAAACUGGAACUGUGACACUGUCCAACGUCCUACGGAAGGAAGGGGUGGAGCAUAUUGGACAAUGGGCCAAAGCCUGAUCCAGCCAUGCCGCGAGUGUGAAGAAGGUAUGCGGAUUGUAAAGCUCUUUAAGUUGUGAGGCGUUACCAACAGAAUAAGCACCGGCUAACUUCGUGCCAGCCGCCGCGGUAAUAC
rnacentral:rRNA from 1 species